AUCAGAGGCGAUGAAGGACGUGCUAAUCUGCGAUAAGCGUCGGUAAGGUGAUAUGAACCGUUAUACCCGACGAUUUCCGAAUGGGGAAACCCAAUAUCCCAUGGAUAUUAUCAUUAACUGAAUACAUAGGUUAAUGAGGCGAACCGGGAGAACUGAAACAUCUCAGUACCCCGAGGAAAAGAAAUCAACCGAGAUUCCCCUAGUAGCGGCGAGCGAACGGGGAACAGCCCAGAGUCUUAAUCAAUAGCAGCAUCAGGAGAACGGUCUGGAAAGUCCGGCAGUAAAGGGUGAUAGCCCCGUAUCCGAAGAUGCUGUUAUUGUGA
rnacentral:rRNA from 1 species